rnacentral:piRNA from 1 species
UUCACAUGGAUGUGCGUAACGUUUGAUGCC